rnacentral:rRNA from 1 species
GAAUGGCAUCUAUUUAAUUAUUAAAGUUCCAACGGUAUAAGAUGAGCAUGCGUCCCAUUAGCUAGUUGGUGUGGUAACGGCACACCAAGGCGACGAUGGGUAGGGGUCCUGAGAGGAGAUCCCCCACACUGGUACUGAGACACGGACCAGACUCCUACGGGAGGCAGCAGUGAGGAAUAUUGGUCAAUGGGCGCAAGCCUGAACCAGCCAUGCCGCGUGCAGGAUGACGGUCCUAUGGAUUGUAAACUGCUUUUGUACAGGAAGAAACACUCCCUCGUGAGGGAGCUUGACGGUACUGUAAGAAUAAGGAUCGGCUAACUCCGUG